GGCUUGUUAGCUCAGUUCGUAGAGCACUGCACUUGCAUUGCAGGGGUCAUGGGUUCGAAUCCCGUACAGGCCU
rnacentral:tRNA from 1 species